CUGGUGUUGAUUGUCCAAACGCAAUUCUUGUACUGCUGCUCCAAAUCCAGGAGUUGUGGAUGGACGUCAUGCUCCCC
rfam:Xiphophorus maculatus strain JP 163 A Contig469.6, whole genome shotgun sequence.